rnacentral:rRNA from 1 species
UACGAAGGGGGCAAGCGUUGUUCGGAAUUACUGGGCGUAAAGGGUGUGUAGGCGGAGAUAUAAGAUAGGGGUGAAAUCCCGGGGCUCAACCUCGGAAUUGCCUUUAUUACUAUAUUUCUAGAGUAAUAGAGAGGAUAGUGGAAUACCCAGUGUAGAGGUGAAAUUCGUAGAUAUUGGGUAGAACACCGGUGGCGAAGGCGACUAUCUGGCUAUUAACUGACGCUGAGGCACGAAAGCAUGGGGAUCAAACAGG